UACGGAAGGGGCGAGCGUUGUUCGGAAUCAUUGGGCGUAAAGGGCGCGUAGGUGGUUCUGUAUGUCUGCCGUGAAAGGGUACAGCUUAACUGUAGCUUGUCGGUAGAAACUGCAGGACUUGAGGCUGGGAGGGGCUGGUGGAAUUCCCUGUGUAGCGGUGAAAUGCGUAGAGAUGGGGGAGAACACUCGUGGCGAAGGCGGCCAGCUAGACCAGUUCUGACACUGAGGCGCGACAGCGUGGGGAGCAAACAGG
rnacentral:rRNA from 1 species